AGCCCUGAGGUGUUAUCACGUAAGAUUGCAAAUCUUAAGUAGCAGGUUAUCACCUGCCGGGGCUU
rnacentral:tRNA from 1 species